rfam:Schistosoma mansoni strain Puerto Rico chromosome 4, complete genome
AUCCAUCUGACGAGUCUUAAAUAGGGCGAAAAGCGCGUCCUGGAU